rnacentral:rRNA from 1 species
GACCGCGUAUGAAAGUACGUUUCACCUCGGGUGACAGGGAGACAGGUGGUGCAUGGUUGUCGUCAGCUCGUGUCGUGAGAUGUUGGGUUAAGUCCCGCAACGAGCGCAACCCCUACGUUUAGUUGCUAACGCGUGAAGGCGAGCACUCUAGACGAACUGCCGUUGACAAAACGGAGGAAGUGGGGAUGACGUCAAAUCAUCAUGCCCCUUAUGUUCUGGGCUACACACGUGCUACAAUGGCCGGUACAGACGGACGCAAAGCCGCGAGGUGGAGCAAAUCCUAAAAAAGCCGGUCUCAGUUCGGAUUGCAGGCUGCAAUUCGCCUGCAUGAAGUCGGAAUCGCUAGUAAUCGCAGGUCAGCAUACUGCGGUCGAAUACGUUCCCGGGCCUU